GAUGAACGCUGGCGGCGUGCCUAAUACAUGCAAGUCGAGCGAACCACUUCGGUGGUGAGCGGCGAACGGGUGAGUAACACGUAGGUGAUCUGCCCAUCAGACGGGGACAACGAUUGGAAACGAUCGCUAAUACCGGAUAGGACGAAAGUUUAAAGGUGCUUCUGGCACCGCUGAUGGAUGAGCCUGCGGCGCAUUAGCUAGUUGGUAGGGUAAAGGCCUACCAAGGCGACGAUGCGUAGCCGACCUGAGAGGGUGAACGGCCACACUGGGACUGAGACACGGCCCAGACUCCUACGGGAGGCAGCAGUAGGGAAUCUUCGGCAAUGGGCGAAAGCCUGACCGAGCAACGCCGCGUGAAUGAUGAAGGCCUUCGGGUUGUAAAAUUCUGUUGUUGAGAAAGAAUUGUAAGAUUAGGAAAUGAGUCUUACUUGACGGUACUCUUCAAGAAAGCCACGGCUAACUACGUGCCAGCCGCCGCGGUAA
rnacentral:rRNA from 1 species